GGCGGUGGUGUAAUGGCUAACACAUCAGUCCGGUCUACUGAAGAUGCUGGUUCGCUCCCAGCCGCCG